rnacentral:rRNA from 1 species
UACGAAGGGGGGCUAGCGUUACUCGGAAUUACUGGGCGUAAAGGGCGCGUAGGCGGCGCUCCAAGUUAGGCGUGAAAGUCCUGGGGCUCAACCUGGGAACUGCGCUUAAGACUGGAGUGCUUGAGGAUGGAAGAGGGUUGUGGAAUUCCCAGUGUAGAGGUGAAAUUCGUAGAUAUUGGGAAGAACACCGGUGGCGAAGGCGGCAACCUGUCCAUUACUGACGCUGAGGCGCGACAGCGUGGGGGAGCAAACAGG